CUAACACAUGCAAGUCGAGCGGUAGAGAGAAGCUUGCUUCUCUUGAGAGCGGCGGACGGGUGAGUAAUGCCUAGGAAUCUGCCUGGUAGUGGGGGAUAACGUUCGGAAACGGACGCUAAUACCGCAUACGUCCUACGGGAGAAAGCAGGGGACCUUCGGGCCUUGCGCUAUCAGAUGAGCCUAGGUCGGAUUAGCUAGUUGGUGGGGUAAUGGCUCACCAAGGCGACGAUCCGUAACUGGUCUGAGAGGAUGAUCAGUCACACUGGAACUGAGACACGGUCCAGACUCCUACGG
rnacentral:rRNA from 1 species